rnacentral:misc_RNA from 1 species
UGCCUCUCAACAUCAACUGAAAAAGAAUCACAAAGUCAAGACUUUUUUCAGCAUGUAGUUGUUAUUUAGUUUUUGUUUGCAGGUGGAUUGGACUUAUGCAUGUACUAAUAUGUACACCUACCACAAUUCAUAUAAAUGAAGCCACACUAUUCAAAUAAUUCCUUAGCUGUAAAGAAUUCAUUUAAUAUCAUACAAAGAUAAAUAUAUAAUUCAUAUCAUACAAAACAUAGACAAUUGACAAACAUCAAAGAUGAAGAAAAAUCUUUAUCCACAGGAAAUCUAAAAAAAUCUUUAGUACAUGUUACAGUAUCAGAAUAUGCAUCAUGAAUGAGUUUCAGUUAUAGAAGAAAUAUCUGCUCCCUGCUAUUUCUUUUUCAGCUGUUUCCACCAUUAGUUCUCUUGAAAAAAAAUGCACAAGAAUUAAAAGAAGGUAAGGCUUAAUGAAGGUCUAGAAUAAUAAGCCCAUUUUUCCCUCCCUUGAGUUGGCAUGGAAGACAGGAAUCAGGAUAAGCAUAGGACAUUAUUUCAUUGGGAGACUUCAAUAGUGGCACUGGCACAUCAAAAAUUGGAUAAUACCUUCUUUCUGUGCACAUAAUGGGUUGAAGCACCAACCAAUACCAACCAACUUCAUUAACAUAUGGGAGAAGAAGACCAAGACUAGGACAUCCUACAGAGGAAGAGACAGCCAUGCAAAAGAAUAUCUAAAUUUCAAAGAGGAAGCCGGAUGCAAGCUUUUUUUGACAUACAUGGAAUAACUUAAAUCAUCCUAGAGAAAAUAUUUAACAAUUCAAGAUUCUAUAAACAUAUUUAUGAUACAGUCCCAGAAACAUUCAUUCCUAACCAAGCCCAUUGUUCCUCUAAAAUAAGAAUAACAACUUAAGAAAAAGAAAGUAUAAAAUUGAAAAUGACGAGGUGUUUAACAAAAUUACUCUAAUUUUCACCAAAAUGCACACUAAAUCAAGGAAUUAAAACUUAAAAGCAAAGCUGGGCUUUCAAACAGAGAUGCAAUAAGAAUUUUAUGGAUCAAGUGGUUAAUUUUGCAAGCAAGAACACCUCUGUAAUCGGAUCUAGUUACCCAACAGUAGCGCUUAAAUUCG